GUACAAAACUCUGGAGAGACCGACCGCCCGGAUCGAUCAGGCGGAACCGGCGCCGAAGGGGCACGAAGCGAGCCGUACAGGAGCGAUCCUACCCAGGAUGCCCUCCCCCAGCUGCCUGUAUGCAGCGGCGCUUCCAAACUCUCAGGCAAAAGGACAGAGGGGCGCCU
rnacentral:ncRNA from 2 species